rnacentral:rRNA from 1 species
CCUGGCUCAGAUUGAACGCUGGCGGCAGGCCUAACACAUGCAAGUCGAACGGUAGCACAGAGGAGCUUGCUCCUCGGGUGACGAGUGGCGGACGGGUGAGUAAUGUCUGGGAAACUGCCCGAUGGAGGGGGAUAACUACUGGAAACGGUAGCUAAUACCGCAUAACGUCGCAAGACCAAAGAGGGGGACCUUCGGGCCUCUUGCCAUCGGAUGUGCCCAGAUGGGAUUAGCUAGUAGGUGGGGUAAUGGCUCACCUAGGCGACGAUCCCUAGCUGGUCUGAGAGGAUGACCAGCCACACUGGAACUGAGACACGGUCCAGACUCCUACGGGAGGCAGCAGUGGGGAAUAUUGCACAAUGGGCGCAAGCCUGAUGCAGCCAUGCCGCGUGUGUGAAGAAGGCCUUCGGGUUGUAAAGCACUUUCAGCGGGGAGGAAGGCGAUACGGUUAAUAACCGUGUUGAUUGACGUUACCCGCAGAAGAAGCACCGGCUAACUCCGUGCCAGCAGCCGCGGUAAUACCGGAGGGUGCAAGCGUUAUCGGAAUUACUGGGCGUAAAGCGCACGGCAGGCGGUCUGUCAAGUCGGAUGUGAAAUCCCGGGCUCAACCUGGAAACUGCAUUCGAACUGGCAGGCUUGAGGUCCUUGUAAGGGGGGUAGCAAUUCCCACAGGUGUAAACGGUGNAAAUGCGGUAGAGAUCUGGAGGAUUACC